AGUGAACGCUGGCGGUAGGCCUAACACAUGCAAGUCGAACGGCAGCACAGUAAGAGCUUGCUCUUACGGGUGGCGAGUGGCGGACGGGUGAGGAAUACAUCGGAAUCUACUUUUUCGUGGGGGAUAACGUAGGGAAACUUACGCUAAUACCGCAUACGACCUACGGGUGAAAGCAGGGGAUCUUCGGACCUUGCGCGAUUGAAUGAGCCGAUGUCGGAUUAGCUAGUUGGCGGGGUAAAGGCCCACCAAGGCGACGAUGCGUAGCUGGUCUGAGAGGAUGAUCAGCCACACUGGAACUGAGACACGGUCCAGACUCCUACGGGAGGCAGCAGUGGGGAAUAUUGGGCAAUGGGCGCAAGCCUGAUCCAGCCAUGCCGCGUGAGUGAAGAAGGCCUUCGGCUUGUAAAGCCCCUUUGUUGGGAAAGAAAAGCAGCAGGUUAAUACCCCGCUGUUCUGACGGUACCCAAAGAAUAAGCACCGGCUAACUUCGUG
rnacentral:rRNA from 1 species